ACAAAUGCCCUGCUUCCAGGAAAAGCCUCUAAGCAUCAGGUAACAUCAAAUCGUACCCCAAACCGACACAGGUGGUCAGGUAGAGAAUACCAAGGCGCUUGAGAGAACUCGGGUGAAGGAACUAGGCAAAAUGGUGCCGUAACUUCGGGAGAAGGCACGCUGAUAUGUAGGUGAAGCGACUUGCUCGUGGAGCUGAAAUCAGUCGAAGAUACCAGCUGGCUGCAACUGUUUAUUAAAAACACAGCACUGUGCAAACACGAAAGUGGACGUAUACGGUGUGACGCCUGCCCGGUGCCGGAAGGUUAAUUGAUGGGGUUAGCGGUAACGCGAAGCUCUUGAUCGAAGCCCCGGUAAACGGCGGCCGUAACUAUAACGGUCCUAAGGUAGCGAAAUUCCUUGUCGGGUAAGUUCCGACCUGCACGAAUGGCGUAAUGAUGGCCAGGCUGUCUCCACCCGAGACUCAGUGAAAUUGAACUCGCUGUGAAGAUGCAGUGUACCCGCGGCAAGACGGAAAGACCCCGUGAACCUUUACUAUAGCUUGACACUGAACAUUGAGCCUUGAUGUGUAGGAUAGGUGGGAGGCUUUGAAGUGUGGACGCCAGUCUGCAUGGAGCCGACCUUGAAAUACCACCCUUUAAUGUUUGAUGUUCUAACGUGGGCCCCUUACCGGGGUUGCGGACAGUGUCUGGUGGGUAGUUUGACUGGGGCGGUCUCCUCCUAAAGAGUAACGGAGGAGCACGAAGGUUGGCUAAUCCUGGUCGGACAUCAGGAGGUUAGUGCAAUGGCAUAAGCCAGCUUGACUGCGAGCGUGACGGCGCGAGCAGGUGCGAAAGCAGGUCAUAGUGAUCCGGUGGUUCUGAAUGGAAGGGCCAUCGCUCAACGGAUAAAAGGUACUCCGGGGAUAACAGGCUGAUACCGCCCAAGAGUUCAUAUCGACGGCGGUGUUUGGCACCUCGAUGUCGGCUCAUCACAUCCUGGGGCUGAAGUAGGUCCCAAGGGUAUGGCUGUUCGCCAUUUAAAGUGGUACGCGAGCUGGGUUUAGAACGUCGUGAGACAGUUCGGUCCCUAUCUGCCGUGGGCGCUGGAGAACUGAGGGGGGCUGCUCCUAGUACGAGAGGACCGGAGUGGACGCAUCACUGGUGUUCGGGUUGUCAUGCCAAUGGCACUGCCCGGUAGCUAAAUGCGGAAGAGAUAAGUGCUGAAAGCAUCUAAGCACGAAACUUGCCCCGAGAUGAGUUCUCCCUGAGACUUAGAGUCUCCUGAAGGAACGUUGAAGACGACGACGUUGAUAGGCCGGGUGUGUAAGCGCAGCGAUGCGUUGAGCUAACCGGUACUAAUGAACCGUGAGGCUUAACC
rnacentral:rRNA from 1 species